UACGUAGGGUGCAAGCGUUGUCCGGAAUUAUUGGGCGUAAAGAGCUCGUAGGCGGUUUGUCACGUCGGAUGUGAAAACCCGAGGCUUAACCUCGGGCCUGCAUUCGAUACGGGCUGACUAGAGUUCGGUAGGGGAGACUGGAAUUCCUGGUGUAGCGGUGAAAUGCGCAGAUAUCAGGAGGAACACCGGUGGCGAAGGCGGUUCUCUGGGCAUGUCCUGACGUGAGGAGCGAAAAGUGUGGGGGAGCGAACAGG
rnacentral:rRNA from 1 species